rnacentral:sRNA from 1 species
UCCAGGUGUGGCCUCUGGAACCUGACUCCGUUAGGACGAACAUCUGCCCCUUCAGGGAGGACCCCCGCGCACACCGGAACCUCUGGCGAGCCGCCCGCCUGCGACUGCUGACCCUGCAGAGCUGGCUGCUGGACGCACCGUGCUCGCUGCCCGCAGAAGCGGCACUGUGCUGGCGGGCUCCGGGUGGGGACCCCUGCCAGCCACUGGUCCCACCGCUUUCCUGGGAGAAUGUCACUGUGGAUAAGGUUCUCGAGUUCCCAUUGCUGAAAGGCCACCCUAACCUCUGUGUUCAGGUGAACAGCUGGGAGAAGCUGCAGCUGCAGGAGUGCUUGUGGGCUGACUCCCUGGGGCCUCUCAAAGACGAUGUGCUACUGUUGGAGACACGAGGCCCCCAGGACAACAGAUCCCUUUGUGCCUUGGAACCCAGUGGCUGUACUUCACUACCCAGCAAAGCCUCCACGAGGGCAGCUCGCCUUGGAGAGUACUUACUACAAGACCUGCAGUCAGGCCAGUGUCUGCAGCUAUGGGAUGAUGACUUGGGAGCGCUAUGGGCCUGCCCCAUGGACAAAUACAUCCACAAGCGCUGGGCCCUCGUGUGGCUGGCCUGCCUACUCUUUGCCGCUGCGCUUUCCCUCAUCCUCCUUCUCAAAAAGGAUCAUGCGAAAGCGGCCGCCAGAAGCCGCGCGGCUCUGCUCCUCUACUCAGCCGAUGACUCGGGCUUCGAGCGCCUGGUUGGCGCCCUGGCGUCGGCGCUGUGCCAGCUGCCGCUGCGCGUAGCCGUAGACCUGUGGAGCCGUCGUGAACUGAGCGCGCAGGGGCCCGUGGCUUGGUUCCACGCGCAGCGGCGCCAGACCCUGCAGGA